CCUACGGGGGGCAGCAGUGGGGGAUAUUGCACAAUGGGGGAAACCCUGAUGCAGCGACGCCGCGUGGGUGAAGAAGUAUUUCGGUAUGUAAAGCCCUAUCAGCAGGGAAGAAAGAAGACGGUACCUGACUAAGAAGCCCCGGCUAACUACGUGCCAGCAGCCGCGGUAAUACGUAGGGGGCGAGCGUUAUCCGGAUUCACUGGGUGUAAAGGGAGCGUAGACGGCCGUGCAAGCCAGGAGUGAAAGCCCGGGGCCCAACCCCGGGACUGCUCUUGGAACUGUGCGGCUGGAGUGCGGGAGGGGCAGGCGGAAUUCCUGGUGUAGCGGUGAAAUGCGUAGAGAGCAGGAGGAACACCGGCGGCGAAGGCGGCCUGCUGGACCGCGACUGACGUUGAGGCUCGAAAGCGUGGGGAGCGAACAGGAUUAGAUACCCGUGUAGUC
rnacentral:rRNA from 1 species